rnacentral:lncRNA from 10 species
AAAAGGUUUCUCCUCCAGGCAUCUUCCCCACCCUGCACUUAAGCUGUUUUAUUUUAUUUUUUUUUCUUUUCUCCACUUUGUAAGGAGUUAACUUUUAUGAGAGGUUUUUUGUUGGUUUUUGUUUUUGUUUUUUCUUAUUAGGCCAGGACCCCAAUUCCCAAGACAGCCUUUUCUCUCCCUUGUUUAAGGAAGACCCAGCUCCAAAGCUUUAGGUUAGCAUGACUCAUUGCUGCCGAUUAGGCCCCCUUCCAUCUCGUGGAUAGAGGUCAUUCUAGUAUCCACGGCAUGUAUGAAAUCUAGAGAACUCAAAAGUUAUCGACAACAGUGGGACAAGCAGCGCAUGGGUAAUGGUGGAUAACUCGCACCCUGUAAGCCCCCUGUUAACAUAGGUGAAAGCUGCACUGGCACCCAUGGGUGGUAACCUGCCAAGAUCACCAGGACUCAGGGAUAUAAGAACAGAAGAAAGAAAGAGGACACUUUUCUCCUCUCCCUCAUGUACCUCAGGUAUUUACUAGGAAAAAGAAGAAACUAGGGAUGCCUUGCUCCCCUCUUCUUAGUAACUACCCUGGACAUUUCAUCAUUCACAGACAAAUGUCUUCUUUUGAUCCUACUCAAAAGAUGAUUUAUAAUCAGCUACAGGAUUUUGACAAGUGUUCUCAAAUGCAAGAUUCCAUUAGCUCUGGAGAUUAUGACAUUGAAAAAAAUACAGUACUCAUAAAGAACUGAAAUGUUCAUGAAUAUCAAGCAGAAUAAGAGAACAGAAUGGAUUGAACUAAUAGAAAACAAGUAUUAUUUUUAACCUUUUUGCUUAAAACUUUGGUGAUCCUUGCUUUGUUUUUCUGAGUCAAGAAUACUUAUUUUGAACUAUUUAAAGCCUUUAAUAAUUGAGUAAACUAUACACCUGUGAACAAAAUUUGAAGGAUGUUUGUUUCUCUCUGCCUGGCUUUGCCAGAAUUUGGAAACUAUUUGUGAGAAUAUUUAAUUUAUGGCAAUUCAGUUAUUUUCAUCAGUGCAAUAAGAAUACAUUUUCUUUUGCAAC